rnacentral:rRNA from 1 species
UUGGACUGGCGGCAGCUUACACAUGCAAGUCGAGCGGAACGAUACCAGCUUGCUGGUAGGCGUCGAGCGGCGGACGGGCGAGUAAUACUUAGGAAUCUACCUAGUAGUGGGGGAUAGCUCGGGGAAACUCGAAUUAAUACCGCAUACGACCUACGGGAGAAAGGGGGCAGUUUACUGCUCUCGCUAUUAGAUGAGCCUAAGUCGGAUUAGCUAGAUGGUGGGGUAAAGGCCUACCAUGGCGACGAUCUGUAGCUGGUCUGAGAGGAUGAUCAGCCACACCGGGACUGAGACACGGCCCGGACUCCUACGGGAGGCAGCAGUGGGGAAUAUUGGACAAUGGGGGAAACCCUGAUCCAGCCAUGCCGCGUGUGUGAAGAAGGCCUUUUGGUUGUAAAGCACUUUAAGCAGUGAAGAAGACUCCUCGGUUAAUACCCGUGGACGAUGACAUUAGCUGCAGAAUAAGCACCGGCUAACUCUGUGCCAGCAGCCGCGGUAAUACAGAGGGUGCAAGCGUUAAUCGGAAUUACUGGGCGUAAAGCGAGCGUAGGUGGCUUGAUAAGUCAGAUGUGAAAUCCCCGGGCUUAACCUGGGAACUGCAUCUGAAACUGUUAGGCUAGAGUAGGUGAGAGGAAGGUAGAAUUCCAGAUGUAGCGGUGAAAUGCGUAGAGAUCUGGAGGAAUACCGAUGGCGAAGGCAGCCUUCUGGCAUCAUACUGACACUGAGGCUCGAAAGCGUGGGUAGCAAACAGGAUUAGAUACCCUGAUAGUCCACGCCGUAAACGAUGUCUACUAGUCGUUGGGUCCCUUGAGGACUUAGUGACGCAGCUAACGCAAUAAGUAGACCGCCUGGGGAGUACGGCCGCAAGGUUAAAACUCAAAUGAAUUGACGGGGGCCCGCACAAGCGUGAGCAUGUGUUUAAUUCGAUGCAACGCGAAGAACCUUACCUGGUCUUGACAUAUCUAGAAUC